rnacentral:rRNA from 1 species
AUUGAACGCUGGCGGAAUGCUUUACACAUGCAAGUCGAACGGCAGCACGGGGGCAGCCCGGGUUGCGAGGGGGGAACGGGUGAGUAAUACAUGGGAACGUGCCCGGCUGUGGGGGAUAACGUAGUGAAAGUUACGCUAAUACCGCAUACGAUCAGAGGAUGAAAGCGGGGGACCUUCGGACCUUGCGCGCUCGGAGGGGCCGAUGUCGGAUUAGGUAGUUGGUGGGGUAAAGGCCUACCAAGCCGACGAUCUGUAGCUGGUCUGAGAGGACGAGCAGCCACACUGGAACUGAGACACGGCCCAGACUCCUACGGGAGGCAGCAGUGGGGAAUUUUGGACAAUGGGCGCAAGCCUGAUCCAGCCAUUCCGCGUGCGGGACGAAGGCCUUCGGGUUGUAAAGUGCUUUUGUAGGGAACGAAAAGCCUCUGGCUAAUACCUGGGGGUCAUGACGGUACCGAAAGAAUAAGCACCGGCUAACUACGUG